UACGUAGGGGCUAGCGUUGUCCGGAAUCAUUGGGCGUAAAGCGCGUGUAGGCGGCUCGAUAAGUCUGCUGUGAAAGUCCAGGGCUCAACCCUGGAAGGCCGGUGGAAACUGUCGGGCUAGAGUCCGGAAGAGGCGAGUGGAAUUCCCGGUGUAGCGGUGAAAUGCGCAGAUAUCGGGAGGAACACCAAUGGCGAAGGCAGCUCGCUGGGACGGUACUGAACGCUGAGACGCGAAAAGCGUGGGGGAGCAAACAGGG
rnacentral:rRNA from 1 species